rnacentral:rRNA from 1 species
GACAGAGGGUGCAAACGUUGCUCGGAAUUACUGGGCGUAAAGGGCUCGUAGGUGGCCAACUAAGUCAGACGUGAAAUCCCUCGGCUUAACCGGGGAACUGCGUCUGAUACUGGAUGGCUUGAGUUCGGGAGAGGGAUGCGGAAUUCCAGGUGUAGCGGUGAAAUGCGUAGAUAUCUGGAGGAACACCGGUGGCGAAGGCGGCAUCCUGGACCGACACUGACACUGAGGAGCGAAAGCCAGGGGAGCAAACGGG